rnacentral:rRNA from 1 species
UACGAAGGGGGCUAGCGUUGUUCGGAAUUACUGGGCGUAAAGCGUGCGCAGGCGGUUUUUCAAGUCAGAGGUGAAAGCCCCGGGCUCAACCCGGGAAUGGCCUUUGAGACUGGAUGGCUAGAGUGCGAGAGAGGUGAGUGGAAUUCCCAGUGUAGAGGUGAAAUUCGUAGAUAUUGGGAAGAACACCCGUGGCGAAGGCGGCUCACUGGCUCGCAACUGACGCUCAUGCACGACAGCGUGGGGAGCAAACAGG